CAAUAAGCGGAGGAAAAGAAACUAACAAGGAUUCCCCUAGUAACUGCGAGUGAAGCGGGAAAAGCUCAAAUUUAAAAUCUGUCAGCUUUGGCUGUCCGAGUUGUAAUCUAGAGAAGCGUUAUCCGCGCUGGACCGUGUACAAGUCUCCUGGAAUGGAGCGUCAUAGAGGGUGAGAAUCCCGUCUUUGACACGGACUGCCAGGGCUUUGUGAUGCGCUCUCAAAGAGUCGAGUUGUUUGGGAAUGCAGCUCAAAAUGGGUGGUAAAUUCCAUCUAAAGCUAAAUAUUGGCGAGAGACCGAUAGCGAACAAGUACCGUGAGGGAAAGAUGAAAAGAACUUUGGAAAGAGAGUUAAACAGUACGUGAAAUUGCUGAAAGGGAAACGCUUGAAGUCAGUCGCGUUGUCCAGGGAUCAACCUUGCUUUUGCUUGGUGUACUUUCUGGUUGACGGGUCAGCAUCAAUUUUGACUAUUGGAAAAAGGUCAGGGGAAUGUGGCAUCUUCGGAUGUGUUAUAGCCCUUGGUUGUAUACAAUGGUUGGGAUUGAGGAACUCAGCACGCCGCAAGGCCGGGUUUUUAACCACGUACGUGCUUAGGAUGCUGGCAUAAUGGCUUUAAUCGACCCGUCUUGAAACACGGACCAAGGAGUCUAACAUGCCUGCGAGUGUUUGGGUGGAAAACCCGAGCGCGUAAUGAAAGUGAAAGUUGAGAUCCCUGUCGUGGGGAGCAUCGACGCCCGGACCAGACCUUUUGUGACGGUUCCGCGGUAGAGCAUGUAUGUUGGGACCCGAAAGAUGGUGAACUAUGCCUGAAUAGGGUGAAGCCAGAGGAAACUCUGGUGGAGGCUCGUAGCGAUUCUGACGUGCAAAUCGAUCGUCAAAUUUGGGUAUAGGGGCGAAAGACUAAUCGAACCAUCUAGUAGCUGGUCU
rnacentral:rRNA from 1 species